rnacentral:rRNA from 1 species
CUCGAGGCCAGAUCUAGAGUUUGAUCCUGGCUGAGAUUGAACGCUGGCGGCAUGCCUAACACAUGCAAGUCGAACGGUAACAGGACUAGCUUGCUAGUCGCUGACGAGUGGCGGACGGGUGAGUAAUGCAUAGGAAUCUGCCCAACAGUUGGGGACAACCUGGUGAAAACCAGGCUAAUACCGAAUACGAUCUACGGAUGAAAGGUGGGGACCUUCGGGCCUGCCGCUGUUGGAUGAGCCUAUGUGGGAUUAGCUAGUUGGUGAGGUAAAGGCUCACCAAGGCGACGAUCCCUAGCUGGUCUGAGAGGAUGAUCAGCCACACUGGGACUGAGACACGGCCCAGACUCCUACGGGAGGCAGCAGUGGGGAAUAUUGGACAAUGGGCGCAAGCCUGAUCCAGCAAUGCCGCGUGUGUGAAGAAGGCCUGCGGGUUGUAACGCACUUUUGUCAGGGAAGAAAGCACUUAGAUUAAGAGUCAGAGUGUUUGACGGUACCUGAAGAAUAAGCACCGGCUAACUCCGUGCCAGCAGCCGCGGUAAUACGGAGGGUGCGAGCGUUAAU